CAAUUUCGAGUGCAAGUGCCACAGUGUCAGCUAAAGAAACACAACUGCGGGUUUUCUGCAGAGCAAAAUGGUUCUGAAAUGUCACUGAAUAGCUCACAAAGGACGCCAAUCUACGACAACAGAGACAUAAGCAUAUAGGAGAAAGGGUCCACACAUCCUCCUUUCAAAGUGUGGAGAAAAGAGAGAGAAAGGGAGAGAAGAGUCAUGGACCCUACUUUAUGGUUGCCAUGGAUGCAAGGUCAGCCUUCCACACUUGGAUCUACCAGCAGAGUUCAGACAGGUCAACGUGUGACCGGCUCAGGCCCUGGGGUUAAAAGUUCAAGCAGCUAUGGAAAAACCAAUAUGUCCACGCAGAGUAUGCUGUACAAUUUAUUUCAAUUUACAUCAAGCCAUGCAUAUAAAAUUUAGAUAAAUUCCAUUCAGAUCUGAUGUUGCCUGACACACAAUGUAUGCAAACAGAUGUCUGUGGGGCUUUUUCUGUGCUUUAGAAAACAACAUUAAAUUUAAAAAUAUGUCUCUGGGAUUUCUUUAUUGAAUUACAAAAUGAACAUAAUUUUAACUUAAAUGUUUUCAUUCUUUUUUCCAAUUUUUUUGUGUGGGGGUCUUAAUAAUUUCUCAGUUCUCAAUCUACUCUAUGUCAUAUUAAAGAGGAUAAUGUAUAUUUACAAAAAAAAAAAA
rnacentral:lncRNA from 1 species